AGCUCCUGCUCUGCAGACUGUGACAGUUGAACACGGCACUCUGAAGAGUAAGCAAGGCAGGAUAAGUUCUGCAAUGCAGGGACCUCGCAAUUUUGGGCCAGUCACUCCUAGAUGAUUAAGCCCCACAUCAGUAAAAUGGAACUUGCUAUGUUUACCUUACAUAAUAUCCAUUAUUCUAUGACACUCAGAAAACUGGCCAGCUGACUCCAACGUCAUCUAAAAAUUCAUCUAGCCGUGUUACUUCUCUACUCUCUUUAAAGCAGGAUUUUCUAAGUCUAUCUCUUCCUCCAUUUCAUAAGAGGAAUCGUGGGCCUCACUUAUGUGUUGGCAGUUCCCUCAGCCACAAGGUCAGCGUGGGGAGCAGUAGAAGAUACUGAACUAUUUGUGGAAUCCUUGGAGAACUUUUCAAGAGCAAUACUUGAAUUAAAGACCUGCAUCUACACACUACUUUUCCUACCACUUGUUUACAGGCUUCAGCAAGGAUAUGUGUGUAAGCACAAUGUCUCCAGCAGAUAACUGAGGAACUGCUUCAAAGUUUAGCUGUGGAUAUGGAAAGAAAUCAUGCAUACCGAGCAAUUCGGCACAGGGCCAAGAAGUUCAUGGAUGAGAAUCAAACAAACAAUUAGAGCAGCCUUGUCUGUGAAAGUCCUAACAGUAUGUGGAAGAGAAAAUGGAGUCUGGAAUGAGAAGAACAUUAAUGAGAGCAAAAGUCAUUGUCACUCACCACAAAAGGGCUGGAAGACAGAGCAGUUUGGCUUGGUUGCAGCCAUGGCGUUGGGAAGCAAUGACUAUCUGAACAUGAUGUGAAAGUACUAAGCAACAGAGACCUAACAGCGCUGUGCAUCUGGUUCUGGCUCAGCAUGUAAAACCUCAUCUCAUGAUCAAAUAAGAGAUCACAUGAAAGAACAGCAUCCCUAAGUCAGAUAUCACAUGCUAAGAAAUUCAGCUCAUUGUCAUAUAUUUCAUGGAAACAAAGUCAUCAUAAAAACACACUAACAUUCAUUCUUUAGUAUCCACAAAUAAUCAACCUACAGCUGUGCCCUUUCCCCCAGCACAGUAAGUGAGUUAUUAAAGUAUUUUUAUCUGAGAUUAGCACUGUCGACACUCUCAGCUAACUGAGAGGAAUUAGACAAAAGCUGUUGGGAGUCAGAAAGUAGAUCUGAGUGGCAACCUUCUUAAUAUUGCAGGAUAUAAAAAGUAGAUACUGCAGUCUCCCAUUUUCAUCAGGAGAAACUAUAGAAUAGUAAUUACCUGCAAUUUCUAUUGAAAGGGAAUAAAACUCAACUUGACAACUGCAUUUUAAAAGCACUCAAAGGAGCAGCAAGGUACAAAUUUUCUGUCAAAAUCACAGACCCUCAUUAGUUAUCUAAUGACAAGUGAGAGGGAAAUGGAAGGGCAGGGACCACCCACCUCAUUUCGGUAUCUUGCUGCAUUCAGUUCAAGGAAAUCUUCACUAUAGUUCACUGAGAAGUUGAGGGCAUUCAUCAAGUGGGCAGCCACAUGCACACCU